rnacentral:rRNA from 1 species
CAAGGAGUUUUCCGCAAUGGGCGCAAGCCUGACGGAGCAACGCCGCGUGGGGGAUGACGCCCUUCGGGGUGUAAACCCCUUUUCUUGGGGACGAAGCAGUGACGGUACCCGAGGAAGAAGGCCCGGCUAACUACGUGCCAGCAGCCGCGGUAAUACGUAGGGGCCGAGCGUUGUCCGGAGUUACUGGGCGUAAAGCGCGCGCAGGCGGCUCGUCAAGCCUGACGUGAAAGCCCCCGGCUCAACCGGGGAGGGUCGUCGGGGACUGGCGGGCUUGAGGUCGGCAGGGGUUGGUGGAAUUCCCGGUGUAGUGGUGAGAUGCGUAGAGAUCGGGAGGAACACCCGUGGCGAAGGCGGCCAACUGGGCCGGACCUGACGCUGAGGCGCGAAGGCGUGGGGAGCGAACG